rnacentral:rRNA from 1 species
UACGAGAGGCCCAACCGUUAUUCGGAUUUACUGGGCUUAAAGAGUUCGUAGGCGGCUUGGAAAGUGGGGUGUGAAAGCCCUCGGCUCAACCGAGGCAGUGCAUUCGAAACUACUGAGCUUGAAUACUGGAGAGGAUCGCGGAAUUCCCGGUGUAGAGGUGAAAUUCGUAGAUAUCGGGAGGAACACCAGUGGCGAAGGCGGCGAUCUGGACAGAUAUUGACGCUGAGGUGCGAAAGCGUGGGGAGCAAACAGG